rnacentral:tRNA from 1 species
GUUGUGGCUCAGUGGUGGAGCGCUUGCCUAGCAUGUGUGAGGCACUGGGUUCGAUUCUCAGCACAACA